CCCCUCUCAAGAUUGCACCUGGAGAGUUUCCAGUAUUCUACCAGUCUCACCUAUGGGAGGGAGAGCAAGCAGAGGCCUACCCAUUCCAUUUCUAGCUGAGGCAGGGGCUAGUGAGUGGAAGGCAAUCUGCUACAAGU
rfam:Ornithorhynchus anatinus chromosome 7, whole genome shotgun sequence.